rnacentral:lncRNA from 1 species
CAUUUGAGUCAAUUGGAGGAGUACCUGUGGAUGUAUUUCUAGGCCAACCUUCAAACUCAAUGCCUUUUUGCUUGAUAUCAUGGGAAAAUCUAAAUAAAUCAGCCAAGACCUCAGAAGAAAAAUUGUAGCCCUCCACAAGUCUGGUUCAUCCUUGGGAGCAAUUUAAACGCCUUAAGGUAACACGUUCAUCUGUACAAACAAUAGUAUGCAAGUAUAAACAUCAUGGGACCACACAGCCGUCAUACCGCUCAGGAAGGAGACGCGUUCUGUCUCCUAGAGAUGAACGUACCUGGGUGUGAAAAGUGCAAAUCAAACCCAGAACAACAGCAAAGGACCUUGUGAAGAUGCUGGAGGAAACCGGUACAAAAGUAUCUAUAUCCACAGUAAAACGAGUCCUAUAUCGACAUGAAAAGGCCCCUCAACAAGGAAGAAGCUACUGCUCCAAAACCGCCAUAAAAAAGUCAGACUACGGUUUGCAACUGCACAUGGGGACAAAUAUCAUACUUUUUGGAGAAAUGUCCUCUGGUCUGAUGAAACAAAAAUAGAACUGUUUGUUCUCCCCGAGCUGACAAGUAUGUUAAUCGCAGGACCCACUCUGCCAUUGUCCUGGACCCUACUGGGUUCCCCUAAUGCGGAGCGCCAUAUGAGUGAAAAUCUGGUCAAGCACAUCAGAUACUGGUUUGAGCAAUGAAUCCCAUAAAACCAGCACAGAAUCUUUGUUCAGCAAUGUUCCCUGCCAGGUGACAACAAUACCUCACACCAAGCAAAGAGAUGACUACAAUUGUGUCGCUUAUGUGCUUCUGAUGGCCAGAGAGUUAAUGCAGAGGGAGAAGGUACUAAGUGACCCAACUGUCCCAAUGCAUGUUAACAUCAGUGGGGCCAGAAUGGUGGUGGCGAAAGAUCCUGGACAAAGAGGGAGUGCUCCAGUUGGUACCACACCACCUAUGCUGGUGUAUCAACACAGAGCUAAUCCUGCCUUACAAUGGAUGUGCCCACCCUGCCACCAUUGAAGGCCUGCACACCAAGGCUACUAUUGCGUCAGUAUGUUUCAAGGAUGGGGUCCAACAACGCAGCAAGAGGCAAUCCGUGUGUGGGAGAUCUUCACCUACUUCUUCGAAGAGGGUGCUGUUCCCUGGCAACACCAUAGACUACACUAUGCACAACCAAAGGCUCUUUUAAGAGCCAUCCACAC